rnacentral:lncRNA from 1 species
AAAGCGUGCGGUGGCAAUAGUCUAUCAAGUCGACGAUUGAGUCGCCCAGGGCUUCACAGGCUGCUGAAUGGUACAGCAAUAGCUCCAGCAAGCUAAUGACUGCUCCUUCGUGGUACAGCUGCCAAAACAAUAAGGAAAUCCGGCAUAUUAUUUACGUCAUCCGUCAGGGGGCGGAGUCCUAAAGAAAUAGUUGGAGGAAAAAAAACCUCCCAUUUCGUCAUGUCUGACGGAGAAGAAUUUGUUUAGACUGCGUUGACGUAGCGAUUGCUGAUGUUUUGUCUGGUUUUUGUCUCAACAGCGAGGCAAGAAGGGUGAGGUAUAUAUAAUAACAUUGUCAACAAACUACGGAGCAGACGAUUUAAUGAGGCAAAUUUCAGCUAUCGAUCCGAUAGGUUUGAGCGCCAUUAAAAUCAAUUUCACGGUGACUUGAAAUAAAGUUUAAAAUACUUUUUUUUUCCCCCAAUGAUAUCUUUUAAAAUGUGUUGCACGUACUUUCUCUGCUACCAUUAAUUUGGCGUAGACAGUUUCUUCACAAAGCUGGGCUGUCUGCGAGACGGCCUUGAGCGAUAACUGGACCACUGCUUGAUGAUGCAACAGCCACCUAAUGAAUAAAAGUGGGGCAAUGAACGAUACGAGUUCUCAUUAUAAUUCUGCACAUGCUUGACAGAUAUCAGAAACAAUAGUCCUUUUUUUUCUUACCUGUCAGAUGCCAAUUCGUCCAGUUGACAGAGUCGAGUCUGUUCUAUCAGAUGAUCUUCUUCGUAAUCCAUAAUAAUUUAAUGAGGAGCUGAAUUUAUAAUGCCAAUUGCAAAAGCAAAUGCCAAAAAGAGACACAACAAAUGCGGAAUAGAUAAAUUCUAGACUUGUUGUGUCCUAUCUACUACAUUCCGCAGACGACGCUGAAAGACUAAACGAAUGUUAACGGUUAAUAACGGGAGCAUGGAUCUAAUAAAAGUUGAGCAUCGAUUCAACAAACUUGUGCUGUCUUUAUUUUCAUAAAAAUAAAAAAUAAAUGGGGAAAAACGUUACGUGAGAGCCAUGGCAACGGCCAGAAAGAAAAACGAUCGAUGAAAAAAGGCUGGGCACUUUGUAAUCAAGGGAUCAAAAAACCUUCCAUGGAAAACGCACACAACGUUCCGACGUGGCUGUACGUGUUUAAAUAAUGUGUCUGACUUGCAUCCGGUGUUUAUUAUCACAUGAACCAUUACAGUACACAUAUGUAUAUAUUAUAUAUCUAUAAAUGUAUGUACGCACACACUUUAUUCAUCAUCAUUUUUUUGUUUUUUCGUGUCAAAAACAAAAAAAUUAUAAAUCGUUUUGAAUUUUGCUGGAUUUCGCCAUUGAAACAAAAAGACAAUUUUUUAAGUUUUUUUUUUUUUAAUUGAACAUUUGUAUUUUUUUUUUGUUUUGUUUUUGUUGUUGUCGUUUUGUUGUUGUUGUUUUUCAUGUACAAAGAAGAUAAAAGGAGAGUGAAAUGAUAGAGAAAGAAAAAUAAUAAAAAGAAAAUUUGAUAUAGGCUGCUGGUCUAAACACACACAGGCACACACAAUUAAACAUUACUUUUGUCAUUAAUGUUGUGGUUGUUUAGAAGUGAUAUGAAAAAAAAAAUUAUUUUUGUUUGUUUUGUUUUUGUUUUUUAAAAUUUUUCUUGUGUGGGGGGAGGGUAGAGGGGGUUUGAGGUUUCUUGUUUUUGGAAAAGGAGGAUAAAUAUAUAUUUUGUAGUUAAAAGAUUCAGACGGGCCAGGGUACGAUGGAAAUUAUAAGUAAUAAAAUCACAUUUCACGAGUGCGGAUUGUAUUAUUAUUCUCGAAAUUUCUUUAGUUUUUUUGUUUUAUUUUUUAUUUUUAAAUUCGAAUUUUGUUUUUAACUUUAUUGUUUUUCGGUGAGCGCAAUAAGAAUUUUCGUAGUAGCAGAAGACAAAAGAAAACAAGUAGAGUGAAAAAAAUAAGAGAUUACCAUGAAAACAAAUGGUAGGUGUAGGUGUAGGAGGAGGCAUGGCGGGUCCAAUUUGAAGAGGUGGGCGGGGUUGUUUUAUUUAUAUAGGAAAUGUUUUGCUUUUGAAAACACGGUGUGUGUGUGUGUAUACAUUUUCCGAAUUUUUUUUUUUCUCUCAACAACAACGGGACAAAAAAUGAAAUCGACAUAAAUUUAAAAAUGGGGAGGAAGGACAGCAGAGAGAUGGGGGGUAAGGGGAGUCAAUAUUUAUCACAACAAAUGAUCCAGUAAUUUUUUUUUUUAGCGCAACAGCAGCAGCUCUCUGGAUGGUCUCAUCGAAUUUAAAACAUGGGAUUUAAUUU